rnacentral:rRNA from 1 species
AUGUGCGAUGAUGGCGGGGCGUCGCUGCAUACCUCUCAUCGCCAGCUCAAGCAGUGGGCGCGUGAGAUUACAGCAGCAGAGCCGUCGUUCGACGCUCAAAAGCCGCUGAAGUGGUCUAGCACGCCCCUCAUCUUUGACGCCGAGGACCACCCUGACCGCACUGCCGCGGUCGGGUGUUUGCCAUUGUUGGUCUCACCAACGAUACGCAACCUCAGAGUGAACAAGAUGUUGGUUGACGGUGGGGCCGGCCUGAACCUGAUCUCGCCUGUCGUGAUCAAAAAGUUGCAAAUCCCUGAUGGAGACCUUGAGGAAACGGGCACGUUUCAAGGGGUCAAUCCGGGGAGGAGCCAACCGAAGGGAAAGGUCACACUUCCCGUGACGUUUGGAGGAGAGUUGAACUACAGGACGGAGAGGAUCGUCUUCGACGUAGCCGAGAUCCCCUUGCCCUACAACGGGAUCCUCGGGCGCCCAACACUAGCCAAGUUCAUGGCAGCGCCACACUACGCCUACAACAUGCUAAAGAUGCCUGGGCCGUUGACCAUCAUCUCCGUCACCUCUGACAAGAAGGACGCGCUGAUCUGCGCCGACCAGCUCUACCGGGAAGCAGUUGCAGCGGCUGCCGCCAAGGCACCUGCUCCUGCCGCUGAAGCCCCGGGAGGAAAGAAGAAGCCCGGCAAGACCUCUCGCACCCACUCCGGCAAGCGCACCUCCUCGGAGUGUUGUGCUACCGUCGAGGACGUGCCAGAGAGCUCUACCGACAAGAGCAAGAGACCCAGGGCCGAGCCGCCGCAGACCAAGAAGGUGCCCGUCAGGGAGGAUGGCACGGGAGGGGCCUUCACCAUAGGCUCCACCCUCGACAGCAAAUGGGAAGGUGCGCUCGUCACCUUCCUGCGGGCGAAUAUCGACGUGUUUGCAUGGCAAGCAUCCGACAUCCCCGGUGUUCCCAGGGAGGUGAUUGAGCACCACCUAGCUGUCUAUCCCCACGCGCGGCCCGUCAAGCAGAAGGUCAGAAAGCAGGCUCUGGAGAGGCAGGAGUUCAUCACAGAGGAGAUCAGGAAGUUGGAAGCGGCAGGUUUGGUGAGAGGAGUGCUCCACCCGACGUGGUUGGCCAAUCCGGUAGUGGUGCGCAAGGCGAAUGGGAAGUGGAGACUGUGUAUUGAUUACACAGAUAUCAAUAAGGCUUGCCCUAAGGACCCCUUCCCGUUGUCGCGCAUCGACCAGAUUGUUGAGUCCACGGCCGAGUGCGAUCUGCUAUCAUUCCUCGACGCCUACUCAGGCUACCACCAGAUCUUCAUGACGAAAGAGGAUGAAGAGAAGACAGCAUUCAUCACCCCAUGUGGUACGUAUUGCUUUUUAGGAUGCCUUUCGGGUUGA